GGAUAGCUCAGUUGGUUAGAGUGUGGUGUUAAUAAUACCAAGGUUGCAGGUUUGAGCCCCAUAUGGGACA